AGGUUGUUGUGAUCUGCCAUUUUGUUGUAAAGUGUGAGAGAUAAUUUUAUUUUUUGCCUUGCGUUUGCUAAUUUUAUAGUGGAACAAUGUUUUGAAUUUUUUUUUUUGAACGUAUGAUUGUGAAUUUAAUGUGCCCUUCUAACUUAUGAAGAUUAAAGCGUUUGAUUAAUUGCAUAAUUAUAGGGAUUUGUUUUAAGAAUAUCUAUGAUUUAUAAGUAAAUGUAUGUUUUUUAUUAACUUAAUUGCUAACGUUAUGUUGUUGAUUAAUCUAUAAUAAUAUUGUAGACAUUUUUUUCUAGGUGCUGAGUUAUUAUUUUUGAUGCUAGUAGAUUAUGUUGUAUUUUUUGUCGUAUUUCUCCCUGUGUUAUUUAUGUUAAGAGAAUAUUUGGAAAGAUGAUAGCAAUGAAUGAUUUUGUAUUUAAUAUGAUUAUCUUUUUCCUUGGUUUGAUUUUGAGGACUUCAUUUGAGUUUGAAAGAUAUAUUAAAAGAUAUAUUUUGAGGAGGAAGUAGGCCAUACUUUGUUUAUGAUGCACCCGGAAAAAGCUUCAGGACCAGACGGGAUGACAACUCUUUUCUUCAAACACUCUUGGCAUAUUAUCAAAAAAGAACAGGUGCAUCAUAAACAAAGCCUGACUAAAACUGAAACAUAAACCCAAAAAAAAAAACAAGAAUGAUAGAAGUAGAUGGGCUCGACUCUAAAGCUCCCAUCAAAUGAAGUCAAUAAACUUCAUCACUUGCUUGUAGUGAAAGCAACGAUUGCACCGAUUAUCCAU
rnacentral:lncRNA from 1 species